GAGCAGAACAAGGGACACUUUUAUGGAAACUUGCUCCAAAAGAUGAUCUUGGGCAUUGGAGCAAGGAUGAACUGCAUUUUUUAUGUGAUUACCUGACUUUGGGGCCACCUUUGUGCUUAGCAGCUUCAGAUGAUGAAUCUGAGGCUCCAGACCUGAGAUGACUUCCCCGGGCACAGCUCCUCGUUCUCUGCGGAAGAAUUAACUCAGAUCUUCCUGACUCAAAGUCUAUAAUGCUGUCUGUCCACUUGACUCGAAAUAUGCCAGCUGCUCCCUAUUGUCUCUAGGGUGAAACACAAACUCCUUUGCUUAACAUUUAAAGUCCUUCACAAUUGAGUUACAAACUAGCCUGAAUAGACGAUUCCCUCUCCAUUCUUUAAUGUGCUUCUAAGAUAGAGGUUUGCACAGUGUUCAGGGCGUGGCCCUGUGUGCCUUGGGUACUCUCCGGAAAGGCUACAAGAGGAUGAAUCUUUUGUCCUUCAAUGGGGGCUGCACGGCUCCAGAGCUAUCAGGCACACCGAGAGAAGGGGCAAAGAGACACUGGCUGGAACUUUGGAAAGAGCACAGAAAACAAUCAUUCUUUAAAUAUUAUGUGGACUAAAACAGCCCAUAAUCAAAGCGAAUGUGAUAG
rnacentral:lncRNA from 1 species